GAUGAAGAACGUAGCGAAAUGCGAUACUUGGUGUGAAUUGCAGAAUCCCGUGAACCAUCGAGUCUUUGAACGCAAGUUGCGCCCGAAGCCAUUAGGCCGAGGGCACGCCUGCCUGGGCGUCACACGUCGUUGCCCCCCCAUCUACUCCUUCGGGAUUGCGGGGGGCGGAUGAUGGCCUCCCGUGCGCCUCGUCGCGCGGUUGGCAUAAAUGCCAAGUCCUCGGCGACACACGCCACGACAAUCGGUGGUUGCGAAACCUCGGUUGCCCGUCGUGUGCGGUCGUCGCGCAUCGAGGGCUCGAAAAAAUUGCCGGGCUCCGGCUCGGCUUUCAACGCGACCCCGGGUCAGGCGGGGUUACCCGCUGAAUUUAAGCAUAUCAAUAAGCGGAGGA
rnacentral:misc_RNA from 1 species